UGGGGAAUAUUGGACAAUGGGCGCAAGCCUGAUCCAGCCAUGCCGCGUGAGUGAUGAAGGCCCUAGGGUUGUAAAGCUCUUUCAGCGAGGAGGAUAAUGACGUUACUCGCAGAAGAAGCCCCGGCUAACUUCGUGCCAGCAGCCGCGGUAAUACGAAGGGGGCUAGCGUUGUUCGGAAUCACUGGGCGUAAAGCGCACGUAGGCGGACUUUUAAGUCAGGGGUGAAAUCCCGGGGCUCAACCUCGGAACUGCCUUUGAUACUGGAAGUCUGGAGUCCGAGAGAGGUGAGUGGAACUCCGAGUGUAGAGGUGAAAUUCGUAGAUAUUCGGAAGAACACCAGUGGCGAAGGCGGCUCACUGGCUCGGUACUGACGCUGAGGUGCGAAAGCGUGGGGAGCAAAACAGGAUUAGAUACCCUGGUAGUCCACGCCGUAAACGAUGGAAGCUAGCCGUCAGGGUGCAUGCAUCUUGGUAGCGCAGUUAACGCAUUAAGCUUCCCGCCAGGGGAGUACGGUCGCAAGAUUAAAAACUUAAAUGAAUUGACGGGGUCAAGCUUUUCC
rnacentral:rRNA from 1 species